CCCUUAGAUGUUCUGGGCUGCACGCGCGCGACAAUGACGUUUGCAACGAGAUUGCGAGGCCGUCAGGUCGAGCUGAUCUUGCAAGCUGCGUCGUGAUAGGGACAGUCGAUUGCAAUUAUUCGACUCGAACGAGGAAUUCCUUGUAAUCGCGCAUCAUCAGUGCGCGCUGAAUACGUCCCUGCCCUUUGUACACACCGUCCGUCGCUCCUACCGAUUGAGUGAUCCGGUGAAUGUUUUGGAUCGGCUUCAAGUUGGUUCGCGCCUCUUGCUUGCUGUGAAAUCAUGUAAACCUUAUUGCUUAGAGGAAGGAGAAGUCGUAACA
rnacentral:rRNA from 1 species